CAGCAGCCGCGGGAAUACGAAGGGGGCUAGCGUUGCUCGGAAUUACUGGGCGUAAAGGGCGCGUAGGCGGACAGUUCAGUCGGGGGUGAAAGCCCGGGGCUCAACCUCGGAAUUGCCUUCGAUACUGGCUGUCUUGAGUAUGAGAGAGGUGUGUGGAACUCCGAGUGUAGAGGUGAAAUUCGUAGAUAUUCGGAAGAACACCAGUGGCGAAGGCGACACACUGGCUCAUUACUGACGCUGAGGCGCGAAAGCGUGGGGAGCAAACAGGAUUAGAUACCCGUGUAGUCCCUGUCUCUUAUAC
rnacentral:rRNA from 1 species